rnacentral:lncRNA from 1 species
AGAAGGCUUGGUGGGUUAACAUUGUCUUGCUGGAGACUAAAAAGCAACCCUAUGGUGGAGGAAUUGGAAAAUAUCACAAAGAAGGUAGAAAAGGUCCUGCUCAGGCAAGUGUGGCCCAGUGCCUGCUUUCCAGCUCAGGCCUCCGGGGUGCUAGAGAAAGAGGGGCAGGGACUGCAUCAGUGGGGCUGAGUCUUGGCUGCUGUAUGGGAAGCCAGUGAGAGAAGAAGGCCUGGUUAGAAGGAAGAGUUGGAGACAUAACUGAACACCACAACCAUCAGGGCAGCCCAGAGGAGGGCAAGGUGUCCAACUAAUGUAAGCUGAGCAGUGCCUGGUGGUCAGGCGGUUUGCUUGGUGGACCACAUGUGUUUUUUUAUUGAAUUGCCAAAACAGCAUAAUCAUGUUAUUGUCACCUUCAUUUGACAAAUAAGGUUACUGUCAGAUAAAUGAGAAUCUACAAGAACCACAGAAAAACAAAGAUUAACAUGACCCAGAAAUAGCUGGCAGGAGAGUUUGAAAGCUCAGCUUUAGAGAAACUGAACAGAAGUGGUUCCUGAUUUGAAUAAAAUUGAAGUU